AAUGAACGUUGGCGGCGUGGAUUAGGCAUGCAAGUCGAGCGAGAACCGUAGCAAUACGGGGACAGCGGCGAAAGGGACAGUAAUGUGUAGGUACCUACCCCCGGGUUCGGGAUAGCUGCGGGAAACUGCAGGUAAUACCGAAUAAUGUCUUCGGACCAAAGGUGUGAUUCCACCUGGGGAGGGGCCUUGAUCCUAUUAGCUUGUUGGUGGGGUAACGGCUUACCAAGGCGACGAUGGGUAGCGGGUGUGAGAGCAUGACCCGCGUCAUUGGGACUGAGACACUGCCCAGACACCUACGGGUGGCUGCAGUCGAGGAUCUUCGGCAAUGGGCGCAAGCCUGACCGAGCGACGCCGCGUGCGGGAUGAAGGCCUUCGGGUUGUAAACCGCUGUCGUAGAGGAGGAAAUGCAGGAGGGUUCUCCCUUCUGUUUGACCUAUUCUAGGAGGAAGUACGGGCUAAGUUCGUGCCAGCAGCCGCGGUAA
rnacentral:rRNA from 1 species